CCGGAACAGGAAGAGUGAAGUCAUUGUCCAGAAUCAUCCGCACUGACAUUCCCUCCAAAAAACGGUCAAAUCAAAACUGACUUUUAUACAGU